GUUGCCCAGGCAACGGGAUGCGGCCUUGCUUUGGCGCCAGGCCUGGGGCCCAGCGUGCAGCGCCCGCCCGCCUCCCCCUGCCCAGCUGCGGGCUGCAGACAGCAUACGUAUCCAGUGUCUCUAAUCAAAAAAAACAACCACAAAAGUGGACAUUUCCAUCCUAAUACGACAAAAACAGACAGAGGAGUCGUAUCGGGGUCCAAAAGUGGGGCGGCGUCCAUGCAUCUGAGGGCCGGCGUCCUGCCUUGGUGGGGAGGCUCGUUUUGAACCUGUCCCGCUCACGUCUUGAGUCAUUUUCCAUAAUGGCUUGAUGUGCAUUGAGCGGCCCCCCCUAUAUCGAGGACUUGCACUUGACUUGGUCAUGUUCCCAUCGUCAUCCUUCUCUCGGACUCGGCAACGGGGAGGUUGAGGUGUCCAGGCUCUUCCCUUUGCACCUGGAGACCACCCAAAACAUUGUCGGUACCAAGAGUGCAUUGCACGCUCAACGCCGGGUAAAGCACGGUACGUGGCAGCGGUUGCACUGAAGAAGUCCCGGCGGGUGUUGCAGGAGUGAGUGAGUUAUAAAAGGAGAGAUUUUUUCUUGAUAGGGCCUUUAAAUGACAUUGCAUUUUAACAAGGGGCCGCCAAGCCAGAAAUAUAAUGCUGCACCGAUAGCCCUGCCAAAAAAACAAGUUUCAAAAGGGCUUGGGGGCCGCCUAAGCUUCCAUAAACUUGGAGGUUUUACAGCGCCGAACCACAGUCAGAGCCGUUCCCUUGAUCUCUUGCUGCAUUGGUAAAUCAUUUAUUGGUGCGGCCUUUAUACCGAGUCCCUUAGGAAAAGGGCUAUAAAAAUGCAUUGAUAACAAAUUACAGCCGUCCCGCUCACAGUCUGCAAACUCCACUGACUACAGUAUUUGGCGUGUGCAAUUUGUGCUGCUAUUUUCCCCUACAAAAAUGAAUAUAGACUGGGACUCCAAGCCAAUGCGCAGAAGUCAAGCCAAGCUGAUCAUUUUUGUAACAGGCACCGUUUACUUCUCAUUGGAGCCCUGUGAGAAUAAAUGGAGGGGCGAGGGGGAAGCGCUAUAAUCACGCUUCUUGAUGUACAAGUACAGAUACAUAAAACACACACAAAACGUUAGAGAAAUGAAACCAUGAGGCUUACAGUAAGGGAAAAAUCACAUGAUUGCCUUGAUUUGCUGCUUGCUGCUUCGGUGUUCUGUUCUGGAGGAAACGCUGCUUAGUAAGUAAUUAUGUUUAUUAAUCCAGUCAUGCUCCACACACUCGUACACUGCUUCUCUUCCAAGGAUUUCAGUAGUCUGCAGGCAUUGAUACUGCUUGUUCGUGGUAGAUGACUGACACUUAUUGAUCCAUUGUUUUCAAGACAAGCAAGGCAAGUCCACCGGGCUUUAUUCUGGAAGCAAGUCUUUUUCAUAAGCAAUCAAAGAAUGAGAACCGUGUCUGCCUCUGUCCAAGCUGACAUAUGUAUCAAAAGGGAUAAACAGAAUUAAUUGCUCGUUCAUCCCAUCCACAUACAUGCUAGUAUUUGUGUGUCUGAGCAACAUCCAAUCUGUACGGUGGUUAAACAGCAUUCCCAUGAUGUGGCUCUUUAACAAGAGGGCAAAGAAUUGCAUUGCUUUCAUGUUCGAUUGGGAUUAGCAAUAGCAGGAGAAUGAGCAAGGUCUUGCCUCUACAAAAGGGCACUCUAAAAAGUUGAUGCAACUCCCUCUGAAGGGGGGGUGAAGCUAAAUUACACCAAAUCCCCGUGUGGAUGUUCCCAUUCAGGAUUAAAGUGGAUUUAGUUCACAGAUAGGUGACACAAUCCAAGGGAUUUCUUGCCAGCUAAUAAAAAGUGUCAGACUAUCCCACCCCAUCACUGGGAGAGAAGGAUGGCUGCAUGGUCAAGGCACAUAUUCAGAUCCAAUAUAGAGUCUACCACGGAUUUUCUUGUGACUUUCAUAGUGUUGCCAAACCUGUCUUAUUAUCAGGCAAGAAGCACGUGUACAAGUUACAACAAGAGAGGGCAUACAUUUACAACACUUGCUUGCCUUGUGCACCCUCCUAUCCUCUGGUAAAGACAGGGAGUUCACCGCACUUUCAUGAUGAAGACAGCUAUGCUGCGUCUGCAACAGGAUAAGAGCAUGUGGAUGGACAGCUAUGUGGAGUAUCUGACAGCCUGUGAUUUCACGCUCUCUUACCUUUCAGUAGCUAGUCUUUAGAUCCAUAUCCUCAGCAAAAAGGGGGCAAUGUUCUUCCUUCAUCUGUUUAGCCUACAAGCCUUUUGGGGCAAGGAAUCACUUAGUAUUUGUCAGCAUCUAACACAACAAAGCCCCAGUUCUGUAGGAGAUCCAUUUGCUGCUAUUAUCUACACGUGAAUUCAGAGGCAGGUGAGAGAUCAACUCAAUAACAUGCUGGUUGCUUUUGGGCUAACCGAUUUUAAAAACUGCCUGUCCUUCCUUCAACUACCUCCCAGGAGCCAUUUCUUUUAUUAAAAAUGCUUUCAUUUUGCUGUUUUCAUAACUGUUCUGUAAUUGUUUCAUAAUGUUUCAGGCAUUGUGCCUGCUAGUUGAACAAGAGGCUUGUUUGCAAAGUUUUGGUUUUUUUUUAAAUAGGUUAGACAAUUUCUUGCCUGGGAUGGUUUAAACAGGGAUGAUCCUGCCUUGAGCAGGGAGCUAGAGUAGAUGCGGCUGCCGGAGGUCCCUUCCAGCCCGACUCUUCUGUAAUUCUAGUUCUCCAAGGGCCACAAAGACCAUACCCAGUUUGCUUGCAAUGAAGAUGAUGGCAUCCCCUUUCAUUGCCUUAUUAAUGGAGAAGCAUGCUGGGAGCACAAAGGACAUAGAUCUGAAUUUGCAGCAUUCCCAGGUGGCCCGGCUAAAGUUUGAGCAUUGCAUGCUGAGACUGAAGACUGGAGAUUGCACCUCUGUUUCAAAGGCUGAAGAUGCAUAUAACAGUUAAACCAUUCCCAGAUGACAUGAUUGUGAACCAGUUCACAAAUGCCAUGGGUCAGAGGUGUCCGUACCUAUAGUGUCCUAGUGCUCCAGGGAGAAUGGUCACCGUUUAGGUGUUGAAGUGCUGAGCCCCCAACACUGGGUGGGAAGGGGCAGCCAGCCCAACACAUCUUGCAUAAGGAAGUGGGAGGAGUACUUGCACCCGUGCUUUGGGGACCCAAGGGGGUGGGUGACUUUUCUGCUUUCCCUUCUCUCCUAAACACAAGUUCAGUAAACUUCAGUAUCCUGCACUUGACCAAACUCUUCAGUGUGCUUUCCUGAUUUGGGGGGCUUGAGGGAAUGCUUGGAGCUACUUUUGUAGGCUGUGGGGCAGGAUGAGAGGUUGCGGUCAAGUAGGGAGUGAGGACACACCUGGUUGUUAGCAUGAUAGCUUUUACUGACCAAGGGGGAGCUCAUUGAUAAAAAAGUGCCAACAAAAGGGGAAAAAAAGAGGGGCAGCAGAGUUCUGGCUGUAUACCAGAGCAGCCAGUUACACCAGUGAGGGAGGGCAGGGAGGAGCAAUGUGCCACAGUCUGUGACAGAUUUCCUACUAAUGGCACCAGCUGAAAUUAUACAAGCGAAGUAGAUGUUGACAUCUUAGUAACACAGAAUUUAAAUAAUCUUGGAGGCCAGGAGAAAAAAACCCCUAGCUAGCCCAUUCUCAUGCAGUCAGAAAAGAAACUAAACUGGAGAAAAUUAAAUAACUUUGCUAAAAUAAGUAGAAAGAAAUCUAUUGACCAAAUCAUUUGCUCCCUCACUGUAAGGUUCUCAUUUUGAAUGAACGGUUGUCACCUCUCUUGAAAAUUACAAGCAAAUCUUGAGAUGAAAUUUGUACUUGCUUGAGAGAAAAGGCGCUCUUAAGGCGAUUAAGGCUGUAUUAGGCACUUUGCAUUUCCUGCAGUUUAUGUACAAGUACAAAGAUUGUUAGCAUAUUCAGAGAGAGGGAGUCGUUUCUGAUAAGCUGCAGUAGCAGGAGUCGUUAAGAACAUGAAUAGAGGCUGACCUGAUAAAUAAUUUGUAGGAAAAGAAAAUAAAGAAAAUUCAAAUGUAAAACGAUAUCCCAAAUUUAUGAUUGUUCACAUAGUCUCACUCUCGAACCAGAAUCUGAUUUUCAUUAUCCUGGCAGAUAACGCUGUGAAUUUAACCUGGUUUUCCAUUCAGGCAUUACUUACAAAGCGGACCUGCAUUCUGUUUGUCAUUUUUGUUAUGAUAGGACAAGAAAUCCAGUACAGCUAAUGGCCUCACAGUCUUAGGUCCCAUUCAGAAAAGUAGUAAAGAAACAAGACACUUUGCAUCUGGGCAAAAAUAAGAUGAACUAUAUCUACACUAUGAUGGUCUCUACAUUAGCUGUCACCACAUAGGAAAGAGAUCUGGGGGUCAUUGUGGGCAGUUCACUAAAAACAGCUCAGUGAUCAGCAGCUAUCAAAAAGGCAAUCAAAAUGUUAGGGAUGAUUAAGAAGAGACUUA